rnacentral:misc_RNA from 1 species
ACAAACUUGGUCAUUUAGAGGAAGUAAAAGUCGUAACAAGGUUUCCGUAGGUGAACCUGCGGAAGGAUCAUUCAUAAUGUUCAUUUGACUAUGGACUAAAAAUCCGUAUCUACACCCUUGUGAAUUGUAAUUGUCUCCUUUGGUAUUUCUUUAUGGUUAUCCUGAGAUUUAGGCUUAAUCCCUUAAAAAUCAGGAAUCUUCCUACUCUGCAAAGAGUGAGGGUACCAGAGGCUAAUUAAACCAACGCCUUUGAAAUUCUUGUCUGAAAACUACUUGAAUAAAUAAUUCAAAUACAACUUUCAACAACGGAUCUCUAGGCUCUCGCAUCGAUGAAGAACGCAGC